rnacentral:rRNA from 1 species
AGUGAACGCUGGCGGUAGGCCUAACACAUGCGAGUCGAACGGCAGCACAGUAAGAGCUUGCUCUUACGGUUGGCGAGUGGCGGACGGGUGAGGAAUACAUCGGAAUCUACUUUUUCGUGGGGGAUAACGUAGGGAAACUUACGCUAAUACCGCAUACGACCUACGGGUGAAAGCAGGGGAUCUUCGGACCUUUCGCGAUUGAAUGAGCCGAUGUCAGAUUAGCUAGUUGACGGGGUAAAGGCCCACCAAGGCGACGAUCCGUAGCUGGUCUGAGAGGAUGAUCAGCCACACUGGAACUGAGACACGGUCCAGACUCCUACGGGAGGCAGCAGUGGGGAAUAUUGGACAAUGGGCGCAAGCCUGAUCCAGCCAUACCGCGUGGGUGAAGAAGGCCUUCGGGUUGUAAAGCCCUUUUGUUGGGAAAGAAAAGCAGCAGGUUAAUACCCCGCUGUUCUGACGGUACCCAAAGAAUAAGCACCGGCUAACUUCGUG